rnacentral:lncRNA from 1 species
UUCUCGUAAAGAAUCAUAGAGUCACAGAGUGAAAGCACUUAAUCUAAGACAAGAAGAUACAACCAGAGUAACAAUCGUAAGAGGCCAAUAAUCCCCAAAUAGAUUGAAACCUAAAUCCUUUUAAACCCUAACUACAAACCGAAAGAUCACCUAAUCGAUUGAAACCCAAACCUUUUUCAAACCGUAACUACAAACUCAAAUAUCCCCAAAUCGAUUGAAACCAAUAUCGUUUCAAACCCUAACUACAAACCAAACAUCUCCAAAUCGAUUGAAAACCCAAACCUUUUUCAAACCGUAACUACAAACUCAAAUAUCCCCAAAUCGAUUGAAUCCCAAAUCGUUUGAAACCCUAACUACAAACCGAUAGAUCCCCAAAUCGAUUGAAAAGACAAAACCGAACCCUAA